GUCUUGCUCUGUCACCUAGGCUGGAGUGCAGUGGCACAGUGGCAUGACCAUAGCUCACUACAGCCUCAAACUACUCCUGGGCUCAAAAUGAUCCCCCUGCCUCACCUACCAAGUAGCUGAGACUACAGGCAAAUGCCACCAUGCCUAGCCUGUGCCUGUUUUCUUAAGGCAGAAAUGAUCUAAAAGUGUGGCAGAGGGAAAAGAAGAUGGGACUUAGAGCUUAAAUAAAUCUAGAUGAAAAUGUUGGUUCUAUCACUCACAGGUUCUGUGAUGUUAGGGAAGUUAAGUUAUUUGCAAUAAAAAUUAUUAAUAUUGUAGAACAUGUAUUGAUCCUAUGUAUCAGGCUUGAAUUAGGUGCUUUAAGUGGGUUGUCUCAAUUAAUUCAUCACUCUGAUUUUCAAUUUUCUGUUCUAAGAAAUGAGAUCAAAUAUGCCUAUCUUGCCGAAGAGUAGUAAAAAUUAGACAGGUAGCUGCCUCUGGAUCCUGCAGGGUAGAGAAAGUAUUACAUAUCUGCAUGUGUGGAUGUGAAGGACACACAGAUACAUAAGGUAAAUGAGAAUUUAUUAUAAAGGUGUAUUUGACAAAAAUUGGGGAAAAAAGGAAAAUUGGAGAAGAUAUCUUUCUGUGAGAUUAAAGACAAAUAGGGGAAAAAAGGGACCAAUGACAAGAAUUAGAGCAAGGUAUGUAAAGAAUUCCAGAGCUGGCUCUAAGAGAUAGAGCAGCUGGUCAUAUAUGAAAGGGAUGAUUCAUUCUUCAGGGGCUAUCCCUCGUGAUCCUAUUUCCUUGCACAAGCUAUCAGUUAAUUUAUUGAUUCACCUCCUUUAUGUGCUCAUAGGCAUCAAGAAUACAAUGGAUCACAUACAAUUACAGAAAAGUUUCAUUUCAGGAGGUCAAACAGGAAGUUUCUUUCUGACUUAUAUUGAAGUACUCAUGAUGACAAUGGAGAAAAAUGAACAUAAUCUUUUAUGGGUGGGGACCAUGUGAUCUCUUUUCUUUCAAGCUCCAGAGGGUUUAUAAGACAUUUCCAUGUUCAAUUUGAUUCCGGAAAUUAUAUGUUGGGUAGAACAGACUCUUUUUGGCAACUCAUGAGAAUUGCCAAUGAUCCCAGCAUUUGCUACUCUUGAUAGUAAUUCCCUUCAUUUCCUCCAUUUUUAUACAUGACCUGCAGUAAAUAUUGACAGUUACUUUGCUGGAAAGAAUAACACAGAGACAGCUUUUCUUAAGCUCCAAACUGAAUUUCGUGGUUAAUUGAUUGGCCAGCUGGCCCUGCCGUCUCUUGACCUCUACAAGAGCCAGCAAGAUUGAUGGUUUCAGCAGCCUUUCAUGGUGCACUAAAGCAUUCAGAUCUAUCUUUUGUUAUUUGGGAAACACUAAGUUCUUAUGUAGCACAUUAUUUACAUGGACUCAAGGGCUGACGAGCUGGGAGGCAGCAAAUGCCCAAAUGGAAGACAAUGUAUGUAGAUCAAAGAAGCCGAUGAGACAGAGAGUUCAUAAAAUGUGAAUACAAUUCCAGGGGAGAAUUGAUGAUUAUGGAAGCAGAAAGCCAAUUGAGUUAAAUAUUCAUUCCAGCAACAAGUCUGAUCGUCUCACUGGGACCUGUGCCUUUCCGAAGUUUCCUCAGCUUUUCAAGGUCUACACAAGGAAAGAACAAAGCCAUCAAGGAGGCUCUCAUUCUGGAAAGCCGGCUGCAAGAUGGCAUGAACCAGAGGUCAGCGGCCACCACUGAGAGUUCAUCGUAUUCGCCUCUGUAAAGAAUAAGCCUCAAGCAGUGGUUCUGCAGGAGCGGUUCAGCAUCAUCAAUACCAAUGAGCCCUAAUGAAUGUGACAAUUCAGAAUGAUUGGGCCUUUUCCUCCAAAACGUUUUUCUCCUCAAAAGUAAAACAGGCUUGAAACUCAUGUCUUAUAUAUGCUGUUUAGAUUUUCAUAUAUUAAUGUCACGAAUCAGAUGAUAGGAAGGUAUAUUAACAAGUGAGACAUUGGGAUAUGGCCCCUUGUUCAAGAGCAUCAAAGCAUUAAAUAUGUUGUUUUAAAAAUACCUUUGGCAUAGUUUUACCACCUAUUUCUCAAUUGCCAUCAAAAUUUUAACUUUUAAUGACUUUUGGAAGUAGGUUAGAUGGGGUGGUGGGAGAGGAAUAGAGGAUACAGAAAGAUAAAAACUAAAUCCAAAAAUAGUAUUGAAUGAGAAUUACUAAUAAGAAUUAUUAAUUGAGUGUCUUCUCAUAAAAAUAGUAAUAUCUGUUCUUUGGUCUCUCACAAUACAUAGUUUAACUCCAUAUAUAAUUUAAUGAAUGCAAUGUGUCACUUUGGUUAUAGGUUUGCAUCUUGGAAACGAUGUUAGUAGAAACAAGUCAGUUUCCCUCUGUUCCUUUUUGCUUAGCUUUCUGGGCUAUCUUCACCAAUGCCACAGUCCAUCUGUAACAGAAUGCAUUGGAGAUUUGAAAAAUCACGACAGAUAAUAAAUCUCUAUAUACUUCUCAUCCUCUGGAACAAUUGAGACAUUGAAAUUGCCUGAUCUUUUUGAGUGAGUGUUGCCACUUUGACCCAGGCAAAUGAGAAAUAAAACAACAAUACCAACCAGCAGUUUCAAGUAUCCUUCUGCUGCAUAAUAACUCAGCAGUAGGCUUUGCUAAUGGUGUUUAUGAGCUGCCAGGCUAGAAUUGGCCCUUAAGCAGGGAGGCAUUUGCCCAGUGGGCUUCUUCCAUGUGGGGGGGCCUUUUUGCAGCCUGGGGGCCCUUUUAGGUGAUUCUCAGCCGGAGCGGUCUCUUCAGGCCAAAGACUUUUGCAAUGAGCUAACUAUGUUCAAUUAUUGCUUUCAGAUCCACCCUACAUUCAAAUGUUUUGGGACACCAAUGUAAUACCAUAAAAAUGACUGUGUAGGACACGCCUAUGCUAAUGUCAUGACUGGUUUGUUUUACGUAUUAUUUAUUUAUUUGAUACUGUUAAUAAAAAGCAAACAAGCCAAAAAGAAAUACUCCCCAACGUUUAAUAGAGAUCAUUGUAUCCUAAAAUCUUAUAGCACAUUAGAGUGCAAUGAAGCUCAAUGUAACAAGCAUCAACAAUCAACUACGAAAUGAGUAUGGAAAUAGAGUAUAUCCAAGGAAGACAGAAGUGUAGACCACAUGAUGACAGCGGGAUAAAGACAAAGGAGAAGGUAAUCGAGAGCCAAGGGUUAAACCAUUCAAAUUGUCCUUUGGCAUUAAAAUGAUCCAAGAUGUUUCAUGAGUUCAGGUUAAAAAAGGAAAUCAGUAAACCCCAAUAUACUUUAAGUUUCAUUUGACGCCCACAAGCUGAAACUACCUCUUUGUGGUGUGUGUCUUUACAUCAGCAAAGAGUAUAAUUGAAUUUGGUUAUUAUCUCCAGUGCUACCUGUUUGGACCUGCUAUUUCACCUUCCUGAAAACUGUUGCAUUGAGUUCUACUGGGGAAAAUUCUUAAGAUAACAUCUGUUUACUAAGAAGGGGGUGUGCUUACCUGCUCUAAGGUAUUGAAAUACAUUGUAAAUCUAUACCUAAUUCAUAUAAACAUAAUUUCAAGGAAAAACAAAAACAUAAGAGACAGACCCUGGCGGAGUGCCAAAGAAUUUGUCAGGGUCCCAGUCCCUGUACCUUAUGGGAGAAUUAAAUUCAUUAAACUGGGCCAGCACGCCCAGCCCAUUCUUGUUUCUUGGUAAAGGAAAAUCCAACUAUAUAUAUCUUCUUUAGGAUCACUUAAAG
rnacentral:lncRNA from 1 species